rnacentral:rRNA from 1 species
AUUGAACGCUGGCGGCAUGCCUUACACAUGCAAGUCGAACGGCAGCACGGGUGCUUGCACCUGGUGGCGAGUGGCGAACGGGUGAGUAAUACAUCGGAACAUGUCCUGUAGUGGGGGAUAGCCCGGCGAAAGCCGGAUUAAUACCGCAUACGAUCUACGGAUGAAAGCGGGGGACCUUCGGGCCUCGCGCUAUAGGGUUGGCCGAUAGCUGAUUAGCUAGUUGGUGGGGUAAAGGCCUACCAAGGCGACGAUCAGUAGCUGGUCUGAGAGGACGACCAGCCACACUGGGACUGAGACACGGCCCAGACUCCUACGGGAGGCAGCAGUGGGGAAUUUUGGACAAUGGGCGAAAGCCUGAUCCAGCAAUGCCGCGUGUGUGAAGAAGGCCUUCGGGUUGUAAAGCACGUUUGUCCGGAAAGAAAUCCUUGGCUCUAAUACAGUCGGGGGAUGACGGUACCGGAAGAAUAAGCACCGGCUAACUACGUG